GUGGCAGGUUGUGUUUUUCUAAAGUAUGAGACCAAGGAACAAGCUCUUGCAGCAAUAGAAGCUCUUAAUGGCAAGCACAAAAUGGAGGACCUUUCUUGUGAAUGAGUUGAAACAACAACACCUUCUUCAUGAUCGAAGUAAAGUGUAUAAGUUGGAGAGGGAG